GCUUUAUUAACUCAAUGAUACAUAUCUUUUUUACAUUGUUUGUAAAAUGAUAUGUGACCUGUAUUAAUGCAAGCCCCCCCAAAAAUGUUUUUUCUAAAAAUGUGGGUCUCAAAAGCCCCACCUGCCCUGAAUGACGGGUCGGCACUGGCCACUGUUAUCAUGCAGUUUGGUGUAGUCACUUGGCUGUUGUUGUCAGAACUGAAUAAUUUAUGCCGUGGUCUUCCAACAUGACCACCAGGAGGAAUCGUUUACAUGAAAACGAAUCAAAACUAAUAGUUUGAAUCCUCAGCAUGUUUCAAAUGGUUCAGCAAAGUAGUCACUUCCUACUGCAGCUUCCUUUGAAUGUGACCAGUGACAUUAUAAGGGGUUUUAAAAGCACAGUAGGGGCUCCCCCAUACCAGUUUGGCAUUUACAGAGGGAAAUCUUGUUUAGACCAGACAGAUCUACAUUAGACCAACACCAGGAACAUGCAGUAUACAGCGACAGAUCAUGGGCAUUUUUACAGUAUUCUCUUUGUACAUCAAGUCAGAACCGUAGAAUAAAUAACGGGGCCAAAUAAGCAGACAAUGAAAGCUCUUAUAAUAUUCUAUGAUUACAUUUCUCUAAAACAGGCUAUAGACUACAUGUGCAUGUGCACCACCAAGUCAGAACAGUAGGCGAAAGAGGGGAAAAGGGACCAAAUUAUUAACGUGAGGCACAUGGGGUACUAACAGCUUACUACACACCACACACGUAGUAUUACUUUCUUAGCUACAGUAUACAUAACUCCCUGGCAUAUUACAUCAUUUAUGUAUCAGUAUAAAGUAUCACCUAGUUGUGCUCACUUCCUUACAAACCACUCAUUGUUGAAUUUGCAAUUUCCAACUUGUUGUGUAAUGUUUAUGUCCAAUGGCCGACGAGCACCGAUACGUUUGAUCUAUAUUGGAACACAGGAGUGAUGGUUGCUGAUAAUGGGCCUCUGUACACCUAUGUAGAUAUUGCAUUAAAAAUCUGCCUUUUCCAGCUACAAUAGUCAUUUACAACAUUAACCAUGUCUAUACUGUAUGUCUUUAAAAACAAGGAUAUUUAUAAGUGACCCCAAACGUUUGAACGAGUGUUUUUUUUUGUGUGUGUUUUUUUACAUUGUUUGCAAACUGAUAUGUGACACGUAUUAAUGCCAAAAUAACAUGCAAAACAGGCAAGCCCUGCCAAAAAAUUUUUUUCUAAAAAUGUGGGUCUCAAAAGCUCCACCUGCCCUGAAUGACGGGUCGGCACUGGCCACUGUUAUCAUGCAGUUUGGUGUAGUCACUUGGCUGUUGUUGUCAGAACAGAAUAAUGAAUGCCGUGGUCUUCAAACAUGACCGUCAGGAGGCAUCGUACGUCAAGCCCUCUAUAGGCUAUGCAAAGCCUUGAUCUGUGCUUACAGUACAUAGACUUGACACCUGAUGACAAUCAAACAGGACACGACCCAGACCAGAACGAAAAGAUUUCAUUUCAGACCCGGUCCCAAGUCAAGUCUGGAAUAUUCAGGUGGACCUGUGAAGACCUUUAAACUGGAGUAAACAGAUAAUUUGCUUGACAUUUGUAAAUUGAAUAAUCCUUGACAUUAGUCAUCACAUGUCAUGGUCUCUUAGUUCACAGCAAGCUACAUAACAAUAAGCAAUUAACAUGUCCAAUUCUUCACACAUUCAGAGAAUUAAAUUCAGAAUUCUAAGUAAAAUAACGUCAUUGACUAUUUACAUUAAAACUAAUCAUUUGGUCUAACAUAAAACCAAAUCGUUUGAAUCCUCAGCAUGAUUCAAAUGGUUCAGCAAAGUAGUCACUUCCUACUGCAGCUUCCUUAUAAUGUGACCAGUGACAUUAUAAGGGGUUUUAAUAGCACAGUAGGGGCUCCCCCAUUCCAGUUUGGCAUUUACAGAGGGAAAUCUUGUUUAGAGCAGACAGAUCUACAUUAGACCAACACCAGGAACAUGCAGUAUACAAAAUGCAUAAAGACAACGAUGGCUAUUCAGUCAUGUAUCAGCUAUAUAACUACAGUAGUCUGGUUUGAUUAUGUUACUCUUCUUAGAAAUAUGAAAGCACCUGUACUUUAAGAAGUGAGUAAACUCUACAAUUGCAAUACACAGGCUCCCUUUUUUUGGGGGGGGGGGCUUCAUUCACUGAGUCUAGCUCACUUUCGGUUCAUUGAUCACAGUCAUUUCUCCCAUCAUGCUGUUCUUCUCUUCUCUUUUAGUUCUUAAACCUUGUCUCCAUGGCCACAUUUUGUACUCUGCUCUCGUCAUCAUAUUCAUAACUCAGGGUUCAGUUCAGUGUCAGCGAACUAGGGAAAACCAUGAUUAACCACUUUCAGGCGCCGUUUGCCUCUUUGCGUAACACAACAAAGAAUAGUUCAGACAUGACGGCACAACACAUUGCUCAAUGUUGCUCCAAGUUCUACAUUGAACACAGGCCUUAUUUUAAGUUUCAGUUCCUCUUAUCAUCAUCCCUCCAUUUUGUUGUCUGCCAGUUGAAGAGAGAUUGUUGCAUCAGAGGGGGGAGACGCUUUACACAUUCAGGCAGAGUCAUCUUCAUACACAUUAAACGAAUGGGUCACGCCUCUUUCCUGCCUCUCUGUGUCUCUCUGGGAAAAACAAAAAACAUUUCUCACACACAAAGUCUGAAAUGCUCGUUCAAUUCACAACUCUAUUCAAUCACUAUUUAAGAACUAGUUUAU
ensembl:lncRNA